GCGGAACGUAGGGCGCUUUAGGUAGGUGUGUGUUGACCAUGCACUCUCGCGUCAUGUAAUGUCGUAUGUAUGAUAGAGGUGGUGUGGUGAUUGACCUCAAUGCUAAUGGUUAUCCCCAAGGUUCAACGAAUGAAUGAAGCUAUGAUCGUACCCGGAUAGAAAUGACGGUCUUCCUCUGAUGUCUCCAAGCCGGCCAUAAUAGAAUAGAUAGGCAAAGCAGCCAAUAGCAGUUUUAGCCUAUCGAUAGAUAGUAGGUUGCUUCCAAGCUCAAACCAUUUGAAACUAAAUUGCUACUGUCUUAUUUUUAUUGAUAGAAUGGUCUUCUCCGCCCCUGUCAAAUAAAGUAGAGGGAGAGAACUGGAAGAGAGAAGGAAAAAGAGCAAAGGAUUUACAAGUCUAACAUCUGGGAGAGGAAUGCCUUAGUUAUCGUGCACGUUGACUGCCUUCGAGAAAAAUAGAACCCAAGCGGUCUAAGCCCCGGGACGGACCCCAACCGAAAGAAAGGCUAGCGCCUUUCCCUCUAUCAGGCUAACGGCAAGCGAGAUAAAGAAAGCAGCCGGCCCUAUGUGUCAAACCUUGCCGCGGGAGAGUCUUUCUCCAAUGAGAAUCAAGCAAGUUUUUGGGCAAGACAAGAAAGGAACUCGCCCUUUGACACCACACCAAGGGAUAAGAGCUGAUUGCUGGCGAUGACUUGGUGAAAGGAAUAUAUGAGAGAAGGUUCUCAAACCGGGUUCCGCUUGGAAAUCUAAAUAGUAAGAGCGCGGACGCGGAACCAACGAGUUCAGUCGAACAGCGUAACGAGUCUAAGGUUACAGAAGCGUUCGCCUACUUUGAUAGGUAAACGCAUUGCAAGCAAAUAGAGCAGAGAGCUUACCGUCUUUUUCUAUUAGAGUCGCGAGCUUGGCUUGUUGUAGUCGGUCCGUGAAGAGAGAACUUGCUGCUUACUUGCUAUAUCCCGCGUUCUUGCACGGCUCGUUCUUCGAGCCCUGCUUCUCCCGUCCCCCUCUCCUUUUUUACUUUAUCGUCCAAAACAAGGCCGUAUGGAGUAUAGCCAAGUGGUAAGGCAUCGGUUUUUGGUACCGGCAUGCAAAGGUUCGAAUCCUUUUACUCCAGAUUAUGAACACCCGAUCGGAUCUGUCAAGAACGAGCUGACGACUACAGGGGAAGCGGCUGAUUGCAGUCCCUGAGCCCAGCCCCCGGAGCCGGAGCCGGAGGGGAGGAAUGCAUGGUUCCCUGGCGCUUCAUGGGACGGGCGUUCGCAGUCCCCCUCCCUCUAAUCUAACCCUCCCCCGCUCCCCCAUACGAAUUUGAACUACGAUCCCCUGGAGCAAAGGCUGUGGAUACACUUUUUAAUGCUGUCACCGAAAGUGUAAAAAAACUAAAUGUAAGACAUAAAUAUCCCUGCCGGAAAACAGGACAUAUUCAAAAAUAGUCGAGCAGGUCAUUCAUUGGGGAUCCGGCGGAUCUACGUUAUGUGAGAUUUUUUCUGAUAUUACGGAGUAUGGCUUUGCCAGUAAUUACUUUCACGAGGCAUUAACCUCUAUUCUAUUGGGGGCCGGGGGUUGGUGGAUAAAGAAAGAUGGACAGUAAGGAUUGCGUAAUAUAAAUUUUUCGGCCUCGCUUAGGUUCCUAUCGAUUCUCCCCGGAUUUGAGGAUCACCUUUGACCUGCCCGACAUGCUGUUGACUUGGAGAUUAAUUCUUCGGCCGUACCUUCUGCGGUCGUUACGCUUGGUCGGUCAUGCUGGGACCAAAGAAAAGUAGAAGCCUCAACCGUGUCGAAGGCAUUAUAACUACAGUAGCAUUAAGACCUCAAAAAUCAACAUCUACAUCCCGUCGCUACCCUUUCAGCCCUUUAAAUGUUCAUCUUCCCGCGUGAGGGUGAUCAGCGUUCUCGUUCACGAAGCCAACCGAGUUGCUCAUGGGAAGGAGCAUGUGAGGGAGAAGGACCAAACUUCGUCUCUUCGAACGGAGCCCAGGUUUCCUUUUUGAUACUAUGUAAAACCUCCUCAUCAACAGACGUUUCCCGAAUAACCAUUCAUUUCAUGAAAAACCUGCGCUUGUUAGCAGCUGAAUCACUCUCUCCUCUCGUAGUGGGCCUCUUUUCUUUCCCUUCCCCCGCUGGCAUGAGGAAAGGGUCCAUUCCACUAGCUCUUCUUCUUGAUUAAAGAGAGGGGUGCGCUUUCCCCUUUGAAUGAGUAGAUCUUCCAGCCCCCGUGCCUACCUUUACUCAAUGCUCCUGAAGUCCGAAAAGGAGACUGUGAGUGGACAGGGGGCAGGGAAGUUCAGUUACAGAAAUGGUAGUCGUGGACUGGUACCGCAUGCCUACUUUUGGUAAUCCUUAUUGUGAUCCCUCACUCUGGGCUAAGAUAGUCUCUUAAGUGCUAGCGUGACGGGAGAGCAAAUAGCAAUGAACCUUAUCUACAGUAUUAGUUCCCUCCUACCAAGAACUAAACAAGUUCUCUAUGCGGGGAAAAGGGUACCGAUAGGCGGAUUGACGCAUCUGAGCAGGCAGGGAAGACUUAGUGCUUGGAAUAUAAAUGCUAUGAGGCUUGGGCGAGAGAGCAGGUCUAGGAGGCCCAGAUAUUGCAUCAUGUGAAAGCAGCGAAAAGACCCAUAAGAGCUGUAAACAAGUGAGAUAGGCACGAAAGGGGGGCAUUCUGGGGAUGUCUCUUUCAUCAGCCAGCACCUUCAACAGCCAGUAGGAAAGAUGCCGACACGGAUUCGAUUCAAGAUUCAAGAUAGGGUACGCCCGAUGACCAGGCAGGGCGGCACAGCCCCCAACCAAGGGGGCUAGCAGCUCUUUUAUCCGCUGCUGUCUCUGCUCUGACUGACGAAGGAAGAUGUGACCGACUGCAUUAGCACUUGUUGAAUUGGUCUUCUUUGAGUGCAAUAAAUUCGAAGUAGUUCAAAUAGCCCUGAUCGACGAUGCGCGCGUCAGUCCCUUCCCUCUCUCUUGGCCGGCCUAUUCUUGUCCAGUAACCAUUCUUUCGUUAAGAGUUCCGCGC
rnacentral:tRNA from 1 species